rnacentral:tRNA from 2 species
GCCGAUGUAGCUCAGCUGGCUAGAGCAGCUGAUUUGUAAUCAGCAGGUCGUGGGUUCGAGUCCCUCCGUCGGCU